rnacentral:rRNA from 1 species
GAUGAACGCUGGCGGCGUGCCUAAUACAUGCAAGUCGAACGAAACUUCUUUAUCACCGAGUGCUUGCACUCACCGAUAAAGAGUUGAGUGGCGAACGGGUGAGUAACACGUGGGCAACCUGCCCAAAAGAGGGGGAUAACACUUGGAAACAGGUGCUAAUACCGCAUAACCAUAGUUACCGCAUGGUAACUAUGUAAAAGGUGGCUAUACUACCGCUUUUGGAUGGGCCCGCGGCGCAUUAGCUAGUUGGUAGGGUAAAGGCUUACCAAGGCAAUGAUGCGUAGCCGAAUUGAGAGGUUGAUCGGCCACAUUGGGACUGAGACACGGCCCAAACUCCUACGGGAGGCAGCAGUAGGGAAUCUUCCACAAUGGGCGAAAGCCUGAUGGAGCAACGCCGCGUGGGUGAAGAAGGUCUUCGGAUCGUAAAACCCUGUUGUUAGAGAAGAAAGUGCGUGAGAGCAACUGUUCACGUUUCGACGGUAUCUAACCAGAAAGCCACGGCUAACUACGUG